rnacentral:rRNA from 1 species
CUGAUUAGAAGCUUGCUUCUAUGACGUUAGCGGCGGACGGGUGAGUAACACGUGGGCAACCUGCCUGUAAGACUGGGAUAACUUCGGGAAACCGAAGCUAAUACCGGAUAGGAUCUUCUCCUUCAUGGGAGAUGAUUGAAAGAUGGUUUCGGCUAUCACUUACAGAUGGGCCCGCGGUGCAUUAGCUAGUUGGUGAGGUAACGGCUCACCAAGGCAACGAUGCAUAGCCGACCUGAGAGGGUGAUCGGCCACACUGGGACUGAGACACGGCCCAGACUCCUACGGGAGGCAGCAGUAGGGAAUCUUCCGCAAUGGACGAAAGUCUGACGGAGCAACGCCGCGUGAGUGAUGAAGGCUUUCGGGUCGUAAAACUCUGUUGUUAGGGAAGAACAAGUACAAGAGUAACUGCUUGUACCUUGACGGUACCUAACCAGAAAGCCACGGCUAACUACGUGCCAGCAGCCGCGGUAAUACGUAGGUGGCAAGCGUUAUCCGGAAUUAUUGGGCGUAAAGCGCGCGCAGGCGGUUUCUUAAGUCUGAUGUGAAAGCCCACGGCUCAACCGUGGAGGGUCAUUGGAAACUGGGGAACUUGAGUGCA